AAGCAUAUCAUUUAGCGGAGGAAAAGAAACUAACAAGGAUUUCCUUAGUAACGGCGAGUGAACAGGAAAAAGCCCAGCGCUGAAUCUCUCGGUGUGAUACCGUUGAGAAAUGUAGCGUAUAGAUAUGAUCUUCAGUUUGUGCUACUUGUUCAAAGUCCCUUUGAUAGGGGCCACAUUCCCGAGAGGGUGCGAGACCUGUGCGAGCAGUGGAGCAGGCUGUAUAAUCAUAUCUUGGAGUCGGGUUGCUUGAAAAUGCAGCCUAAAGUGGGUGAUAAACUUCAUCUAAGGCUAAAUAUAGACGCGAAUUCGAUAGCAAACAAGUACUGUGAAGGAAAGUUGCAAAGAACUUUGAAGAGAGAGUUCAAGAGAACGUGAAAUCGCUGGAGUGGAACCGGAGAGAGUUGACGUAGUCGGGUAACUAAGUUGACCAAAGUCGCUUAAUUGUGAUUUAGGAAAACGUAUGUUGCCUAUGACUGUGCUGACAACAUUGACUGUGUGUUCCGAACCGUUUAUGUUGCCCACUUUAAUGUGGUGUCUUGUUUACGGAUAGGUUUUUCAUGGUUAAUGUAUUAUCCUGCUUGCAGGGUGUCAGUAUGAAAAUCGACCACCUCUCCGACCCGUCU
rnacentral:rRNA from 1 species